CGACCGGCGCACGGGUGAGUAACACGUAUGCAACCUGCCCUCUUCAGGGGGACAACCUUCCGAAAGGGAGGCUAAUCCCGCGUAUAUCGGUUUCGGGCAUCCGAGAUCGAGGAAAGAUUCAUCGGAAGAGGAUGGGCAUGCGGCGCAUUAGCUAGACGGCGGGGUGACGGCCCACCGUGGCGACGAUGCGUAGGGGUUCUGAGAGGAAGGUCCCCCACACUGGUACUGAGACACGGACCAGACUCCUACGGAAGGCAGCAG
rnacentral:rRNA from 1 species